rnacentral:rRNA from 1 species
AAUAUUGGACAAUGGGCGAAAGCCUGAUCCAGCCAUCCCGCGUGUGCGACGAAGGNCUNNGGGUUNUNAAGCACUUUUGGCAGNNNNNAAAUCGCAUAGGAUAAUACCCUGUGUGGAUGACGGUACCUGCAGAAUAAGCACCGGCUAACUACGUGCCAGCAGCCGCGGUAAUACGUAGGGUGCAAGCGUUAAUCGGAAUUACUGGGCGUAAAGCGUGCGCAGGCGGUUCGGAAAGAAAGAUGUGAAAUCCCAGGGCUUAACCUUGGAACUGCAUUUUUAACUACCGGGCUAGAGUGUGUCAGAGGGAGGUGGAAUUCCGCGUGUAGCAGUGAAAUGCGUAGAUAUGCGGAGGAACACCGAUGGCGAAGGCAGCCUCCUGGGAUAACACUGACGCUCAUGCACGAAAGCGUGGGGAGCAAACA